UACGUAGGGGGCAAGCGUUGUCCGGAUUUAUUGGGCGUAAAGAGCGUGUAGGCGGCCUUACAGGUCAGCUGUGAAAACUCGAGGCUCAACCUCGAGACGUCGGUUGAAACCGUAAGGCUAGAGUCCGGAAGAGGAGAGUGGAAUUCCCGGUGUAGCGGUGAAAUGCGCAGAUAUCGGGAAGAACACCCGUGGCGAAGGCGGCUCUCUGGGACGGUACUGACGCUGAGAAGCGAAAGCUGGGUGGGACGAACAGG
rnacentral:rRNA from 1 species